rnacentral:tRNA from 1 species
GGUCGCGUGGCCCAAUGGCAAGGCGUUUGACUACGAUUCGAUAUAUCAAAAGAUUGUGGGUUCGAUCCCCACCGUGACCU